rnacentral:miRNA from 1 species
UGAGAUCCAACUGUAAGGCAUU